rnacentral:rRNA from 1 species
CCUACGGGAGGCAGCAGUGGGGGAUCUUGCACAAUGGGGGAAACCCUGAUGCAGCGACGCCGCGUGAGUGAAGAAGUAUUUCGGUAUGUAAAGCUCUAUCAGCAGGGAAGAAAAUGACAGUACCUGACCAAGAAGCCCCGGCUAACUACGUGCCAGCAGCCGCGGUAAUACGUAGGGGGCAAGCGUUAUCCGGAUUUACUGGGUGUAAAGGGAGCGUAGACGGUUAUGUAAGUCUGGAGUGAAAGCCCGGGGCCCAACCCCGGGACUGCUUUGGAAACUGUGUAACUGGAGUACAGGAGGGGAGGGCGGAAUUCCUGGUGUAGCGGUGGAAUGCGUAGAUAUCAGGAGGAACACCAGCGGCGAAGGCGGCCUGCUGGACUGAAACUGACGUUGAGGCUCGAAAGCGUGGGGAGCGAACAGGAUUAGAUACCCGUGUAGUC